CACCAAGAGACAAGUUUCUGUCUGUGAACAAAAAAAAGCAUUUGUUCGAGGACAGAGUCCAUGAACCGGGAAGGGCUCAUUUUACAGAGGCAAUUGAAUUUGUUUCGAACUGAAACUGGAACUUUAUUGGAUAUUUUUAUUGCACCUUGAAGCGUCCAUCGUCAACUGAACAUCCAAAGGGACUAAGUACCUGUUAAAAGUCUCGGCGUGCUCCUUGGUCAUCCGUGUUUUAGUUUCCUCUUAAAACACCUUCCUGCCACGUAUAGUUAAAGAAAAGAAGUCAUAUUUUCUGCGAAGCGCAGCUAUGUUAUGUCAUCUGAACCAAAAAUAAUUCAACACUGUGGUUGUCUGUUGGCCCCUGAUCCAAUCAAAGACCCGUCAUGUCAGUACCCGCCCAUGAGCGCGGUGGGUCCCGUAGUGCAGAAGUCAAGACGUGUGAUGUAGUAUGUUUCUCUUUCGGCAGCGCUCCCUACCUUCCCUCGCUCCUCUUGUCCCCUCCGCUCACGUUUUACCAGCCUGAGAAGUGAUGAGCUAUUACCUCGUCUCUUCCCUUGAGUUGUAUCCUGAUGACUCCCGAGGUGGAAGGAGGAAGCGCCCGUGAGAACUUACCUUCUAAAUUGCUGCGGCUUCGGGUUUCGGCCUUGUUUCCACUUCGUCACGGUUGCUGAGAGACUUGUAGGAUAGAGGGAAAGAAUCGCCGUCUGAACACGUGUCACAUGUACUUCCUUGAGGAAGUCUUACCUUGGCGGGUCAGUGGAGAGGAAAUUCUGAAAGGACACAAUAGACGACCUGGCAUUUCCAGCGUUUUCACCCCACUUCUCUGUGCUGCUAUUGUGCGCUUGUGUUCAAUUAAGCCGUCUCACAGGCAGCCGCCAGAGUCGGAGACACAUCGUUGCUCUUUCUGGCUCAGAUUAAGUGAAACACCUGUCCGGGCCUUUGUUUGACAUUAACUGGCCGAGACCAAGUUAUCAAAUAUGACCUUCCGUUGACUGUGCAGGAAUUGCACUUCCCGACAGGGAUUUGGACUAAAUGUCUGUCGGAGGCGCCGGCAGGUGCGUCAGCUAAUGCUGCUUCUCUCGAUGUGUGAACGUUAUUCCUGAAUUCUUUUCAGUCAGUGUGUCCAAGGUAACGAUCUGCUGUGCUUCUUCAUUUUUCUUUAACAACCAGAUAAAUAUAAAUAACUCCAACCACAAAAGGAGCACCAAUUUUCUUCUUCUCCGAACGGAGGCAGGUGCUUCCUCCAGCAAAUACACAUGUUUUAGUUUUUUCUAUCUGUAUUCAUUCCUCACACUCACGGCCC
ensembl:lncRNA